GACGAACGCUGGCGGCGCGCUUAACACAUGCAAGUCGAGCGAGAUCCAGGCCUUCGGGCCUGGGGACAGCGGCGAACGGGUGAGUAACACGUGGGUAAUCAACCCUCGACACUGGGAUAGCCCGGGGAAACCCGGAUUAAUACCGGAUGGCCCUUUGGAUCUUCGGAUCUGACGGGAAAGGUAGCUUCGGCCUCCGGUCGAGGACGAGCCCGCGGCGGAUUAGCUUGUUGGUGGGGUAACGGCUCACCAAGGCGACGAUCCGUAGCUGGUCUGAGAGCACGAUCAGCCACACUGGGACGGAGACACGGCCCAGACUCCUACGGGAGGCAGCAGUGGGGAAUCUUGCGCUAAUGCGGGCAACCGUGACGCAGCGACGCCGCGUGAGGGAAGAAGGCCUUCGGGUUGUAAACCUCUUUCAGGAGGGACGAAGCCACUCGGGUGAAUAGCCCAGAGGGUGACGGUACCUCCAGAAGAAGCCCCGGCUAACUACGUGCCAGCAGCCGCGGUAACAC
rnacentral:rRNA from 1 species